ACUAUAUAACGCACACCAACAAAACACCGCAUUCGUGAAACUGAAAACGUUUUUUUAUUACAGAGUCAGUUUGGCACUGACUCAGUUUUAAAAACGAAUUCGCUAUUAGUGUCCGGUGCUGAUUCCGUAAAAGGUUGACUAUUCUUUAUAAGAUUGCAGUGAACAUUAAUUUUAUAGUCUCCUCACAUAAAAUUGAUGGACAAUGAGCUGCGGAAAACUAUAAAGCUGUCAAGGAUCUUUUAAUUUUACUGCCCGAAACUGCGCCAGACGAUAACAUCUGGAUUCUCACUGGAUGAGCUCGGUGUGCACGCAUCUCACGUCUAUCGUAUGAUCAAGCUGGGUUUCGGAAUCGAUGAGGACGAAGCUAUGAGCACAGAUGAUAUUCCAGCCGCAUGAUGCUGCUCCACUAGUGGAUGACACCGAUGAUGUCUCACAUAUGGAAGAAGUUGAUCAAACAUAUACGAUUUUGAACUACUUUUCGUCAUUUUUGAAAGCCUGAUUUGUGUUUUUGGAGAAAGGAAAAGGUUUGCGGAAUUGAGUUUCUCGUAUCAGUUAGGGUCAACUAUUGUUAACAUAAAUUUUAAUUUUGUAUCGCGUUAUAGCGGUGCAGAAGAUGUAUAUUCUUGUCAUUAGUAAUAGCAUACCAAAUACUUGAACUGACUACAUGUUAAUAAUAAAUAUAAAUUAAUUUAAAA